rnacentral:rRNA from 1 species
CUAGACGAGCGUGGAGCAGGCGGAGGUGGCGGGGUCGAACAGCGCCGGGAGCAGGUACUUCCUCCCGUGCGCGCCGUGGGCGUUGUAGCUCGCUCCGGUGGCGCCGUCCACCAGCAGCUGGCCGGCGUACCCGGGGUACGCCCCCUUGCCGUACACCCCCGGGCACGCCGUCGCGGCCUCCAGCGGCGCCUCGCGCUCCCCCUGGUAGAACCCGUCGCCGAACGGGUUGGUCACCGCGCCGGCCACCAUGCUGGCCACGUUGAUGAUGAGCCCGUCCAUGCCCACGUCGCCGUUGGGCGCGGCCAGCGGCGGCGCCUGGGGCCCGUACGCCGGCUGGUGGAACGGCCACGCGCACUGCCCGGCGCACUGCGUCGCCGGGUUGCCGGCCCACACGUAGGCCGUGCCGGACUUGGCGUCCACGGUCCCGUGCCGGCCGCACCGGCUCAUGCAGAACCCCUCCACGCCCACGUCCUGCGCCGUGAGCACCAGCGCGAUGCCGCCCUUGGCGGGCCUCGCCUGCGCAGCCGUGAAGCGGCCGUACCAGAGAACGGAGACGGGGAUGUCGCCGUGCAGCACGGCGCCGUUGUGGUACGUGAGGAGGUUCGGCUGGGGCUGGACCAGGAACAUGAGCUUCCUCGUGCUCGUGGUAGCCGACGCGGAUGCCAUGUUAGCGGCGAGCGCCAUUAG